CCUACGGGGGGCAGCAGUGAGGAAUAUUGGUCAAUGGCCGCAGGGCUGAACCAGCCAAGUCGCGUGAGGGAUGACGGUCCUAUCGAUUGUAAACCUCUUUUGUCAGGGAGCAAAGGGCGCCACGUGUGGCGCUUUGCGAGUACCUGAAGAAAAAGCAUCGGCUAACUCCGUGCCAGCAGCCGCGGUAAUACGUAGGGGGCAAGCGUUAUCCGGAUUCACUGGGCGUAAAGGGAGCGCAGGCGGCAUGGCAAGUCUGAUGUGAAAACCAGGGGCCCAACCCCGGGAGUG
rnacentral:rRNA from 1 species